GGGAACAUACCCUUUUCUACGGAAUAGCUCUGGGAAACUGGAAUUAAUACCGUAUACGCCCUACGGGGGAAAGAUUUAUCGGGGAAGGAUUGGCCCGCGUUGGAUUAGCUAGUUGGUGGGGUAAAGGCCUACCAAGGCGACGAUCCAUAGCUGGUCUGAGAGGAUGAUCAGCCACAUUGGGACUGAGACACGGCCCAAACUCCUACGGGAGGCUGCAGUGGGGAAUAUUGGACAAUGGGCGCAAGCCUGAUCCAGCCAUGCCGCGUGAGUGAUGAAGGCCUUAGGGUUGUAAAGCUCUUUCACCGAUGAAGAUAAUGACGGUAGUCGGAGAAGAAGCCCCGGCUAACUUCGUGCCAGCAGCCGCGGUAAUACGAAGGGGGCUAGCGUUGUUCGGAAUUACUGGGCGUAAAGCGCACGUAGGCGGAUAUUUAAGUCAGGGGUGAAAUCCCAGAGCUCAACUCUGGAACUGCCUUUGAUACUGGGUAUCUUGAGUAUGGAAGAGGUAAGUGGAAUUGCGAGU
rnacentral:rRNA from 1 species